AACCAUCGGCCGGGAAUCGAACCCCGGGCGCCCGCGUGGCAGGCGAGCAUUCUACCACUGAACCAAAGGCAAACGGU
rnacentral:tRNA from 1 species